UAUCCGUGUCUAGUCUCCACAGUCCACAGUGCAUAUCUCUCUCCGUUGCAGUAGUGUAGUGUGUCGAGUUCAGAAAAAAAGUUUGACUGUGUCUGUCAAGAGAGUUGCUACAGGCAGUUGUUUAUUUGAAUUCUCGAAAACUGAACCAUCAUGACUAAUAAUGAAAAAACUAGAGAUCUCGGCGUGGUUAUGCAGAAAGCUAGAACUGCAUUCGCAACGGGUAAGACUCGCGAUGUAAAUUUUCGAAUUCGUCAACUGGAGAGCCUUCUCCGCAUGUAUGAAGAAAAUGAGGCAGAUUUGAUGAAUGCGCUGUAUAAGGACCUUCGCAAGCCGAAACCUGAAGCCAAGUUGAUGGAAAUUGAAGUUCUCAAAGGGGACGUGCGAACCAUGAUUCAGAAUUGCAAAGAGUGGUCAAAACCUCAACGGGUUCCUAAAACCCUCGUUACCAUGAUGGACACUCCCGUCAUUCUUCAAGAUCCAUAUGGAGUUGUUUUAGUUAUUGGAUCAUGGAACUAUCCCGUUCAGCUUUCACUUAUACCAGUUUCAGGAGCAAUCGCUGCCGGAAACUGUGUUAUUAUCAAGCCAUCGGAAAUUGCCCCGGCCUCGUCUAAAUUGUUAGAAGAGUUAAUUCCUCGUUACUUGGAUCAAGAAUGUUUUCAAGUCGUAACUGGGGGACCUUCAGACGUUCAAGAAUUACUAAAGCAAAAAUUUGAUUACAUUUUCUUUACGGGAUCGACAAAUAUCGGAAAAAUAGUUCGCGAGGCAGCCAACAAACACUUAACUCCAGUUACGUUAGAACUUGGAGGGAAAAGUCCCGUUUACGUUGAUGAGUCAGUUGAUAUGACAAUCGCUGCGCGUCGCAUCAUUUGGGGGAAAAUGGUUAACUGUGGGCAGACUUGCAUCGCCCCCGACUACAUUCUUUGCAAUAAAUCUACACGGGAUCGUUUGGUAGAUAAGAUUCGGGAAAUCUUGAUCGAGUGGUAUGGCCAGGACCCACAAAGUUCACCUGACCUCUGCCGAAUUGUAAAUGUUCGUCAUUUCCAACGUUUGCAAGCUAUGCUCGGCAGUGGCAAGGUAGCCAUUGGAGGCAAAAGUGACGCCGAUGACCUAUGGAUAGAGCCAACUGUGUUGAUUGACGUUAAGCCUACCGAUGCUGUGAUGCAAGAAGAGAUAUUUGGGCCAAUACUUCCAAUUGUGGAAGUUGAAAGUGCCUAUGAUGCAAUUCAGUUCAUCAACGCGCGGGAGAAGCCACUUAGCUUGUACAUCUUUUCUAAAAACAAGAAAAUAACCAAUCUUUUCACGGGGAAUACAAGCUGUGGCUCAAUUUGUGUCAAUGAUACAAUGGUGCAAUUUUCAGUGGAAGAAUUGCCAUUUGGGGGUGUUGGUGCUAGCGGGAUAGGCGCUUACCAUGGAAAAUAUAGUUUCGACACCUUCACGCACAAGAAAUCUUGUUUAAUCCGGUCCUUUGACAAGAUGGGAGAGGCGCUCGGAAAAGAUCGCUAUCCUCCUUAUACGGAUGAAAAAAUCCGACGGUUAAUUUUUCUUCUUAAAAAACGCGAAUUACCCAGUCUUCGCUUUGUUCCUUAUGUAGCCAGUUUUGCCUUAGGCGUGGCUUCUGCCGUACUUGUGCGCUAUCUUGCCAAGUUAUGGGCAAGUUCCCAUCUCUACAAAAUGGUUCGAAAAAUCCAGCAUUGAGUUGACGAUAUCCUCCCAAUGCACAUCCUGACUUACACAGUAAUACCUAUUUUCCCUCUACGAACGUUGCCGCGACUUUUUUUUUUUUUUUUUUACUUUACUUUACUUUAUUAUAUCUACCGUGCCAUCUUUACCAACUGUAGUCUAGUCAAAGUUUCUGUUGGUGAAAACAGCGUCGUUUAUUUAGAAAUCAAGGAAUUGGGUUUCGAAGAUAAGUUACCUGAUGUUAUGGGUUAAUAACCAGUGGACCAGUUAUUCUGAGUUUGGAGUAUCGCAAGACUUCUUCUAGACUAUUGGUGUCCUUCUACAUAAAAGAUUAUUAUGAUUCCAUAUAGUCCCCCUUUAUUGGUUCUUCAUAGUUUUCGUUUCUAUUGGGAAUACAUAUACAUUACUUGUUACUUAUUAA
rnacentral:misc_RNA from 1 species